GACAUGACCUAUUUUAAUGGUAGAAUGUUCCUUUCCUCACGUUUUGUUUUGACUGUUUGGAGGAGUUGUUUUACUUUUUGCAAGUUCAUUCACUGACAACUGUUACCAUUGUUCAAGCUACAGCAAGAUGUGUGGCUCUUUUAAAACUUCCUGUGUAUGAAAAUUUUAUAUACCCUCUAUUAAGAUAUGACCUUAAAGUGGAGAUGUGAUUUGAUUUGGGUCUGAUUCCAGUUUUACCUUGAACGGAAUUUUUUUCUGAGAAAAUUUGUUUUUUUUUAAAAUAAAAAGCCCUGAAGGACAGAGCCCUAAAUAAAACACCCUUGCCGAGUUAAGCUUUGUGGUGCCGGGUAUAGAAGAGUUUGUCUGCUGGAGUAAUAGGACUCUGUGGGGAAGAGAAGUUCGUGCUGGACCAGAAAGACUGUGACCUUUGCCUCGCAUUUCCCUAAUUUCAUUCCAUGCCCCUGCUGAUGUCAUCGGUCGCCUGAGCAACCCCAAGCCACGCCCACCUAGAUAGGAACCAAUCACGUGGGUGCAGAACCUUAAGAUUUUUAACAUUUAGUUUGUAAAUGCUUUCACUGAUAUUUUUAGCUUGAAUAAAGCUAUAAUUAUUUAGUAGUUCUCCCUCAAUUUCAAGUUUACCAGCGUGAAGCAAAAGUGUCCUGGAGAUGUGCUUGUUUAAAGCUAGCCGCACCGGCUGCCCGUGCUGCCACGUGUAGUGGCUUUAGCAUUGAUGUUUGGAUCGGUUUGAUUUCCUUUUUUCUUCUCUCUGUCCUGCUGCCUCCAGAAGACGUGGUUUUGAAAAGUGUUUAGUAGUGGUGCGUGCGUGCGUGCGUGCGUGCGAGAGAGAGAGAGAGAGAGAGAGAGAGAGAGAGAGAGAGAAAUGUUGCUCUAAACCUGGCUGCAUAAGCAACAGUCCAUGAACUCUGCUGACAUUUAGAAAGCGAAAAUGAAGCUGCCAUGGUCAAAGCUAAGUUUGUCUCAAAAAAAAAAAAAAAACCAUUUAUUGAGUCAUCGUCUGGGUUAUAUGCAAUUUAUAUAUUUGUAUUCUGCUUUGAAACUGUAACUAGAUAAGUCUGUCUACUAUUUUUAACUUUACAAGAAUAAAAUAUUUUGGUAGCUAUCUCCU
rnacentral:lncRNA from 1 species